rnacentral:rRNA from 1 species
CAGUCGCCGCGGGAAUACGUAGGGUGCGAACGUUAAUCGGAAUUACUGGGCGUAAAGCGUGCGCAGGCGGUUCGUUAAGACAGAUGUGAAAUCCCCGGGCUUAACCUGGGAACUGCAUUUGUGACUGGCGAGCUAGAGUAUGGCAGAGGGGGGUAGAAUUCCACGUGUAGCAGUGAAAUGCGUAGAGAUGUGGAGGAAUACCGAUGGCGAAGGCAGCCCCCUGGGCCAAUACUGACGCUCAUGCACGAAAGCGUGGGGAGCAAACAGGAUUAGAUACCCCCGUAGUCCCUGUCUCUUAUAC